rnacentral:tRNA from 1 species
AUUUAAUUAAGUUAAAUAAAAACUUAUUUUUUGUCAAAAAAUCAAUCUUAAAAAGAUUAAAUA